AACGUAGGGCGCGAGCGUUGUCCGGAUUUAUUGGGCGUAAAGAGCUCGUAGGCGGCUUGUCGCGUCGUCCGUGAAAACCAGGGGCUCAACCCCUGGCUUGCGGUCGAUACGGGCAGGCUAGAGUUCGGUAGGGGAGACUGGAAUUCCUGGUGUAGCGGUGAAAUGCGCAGAUAUCAGGAGGAACACCGGUGGCGAAGGCGGGUCUCUGGGCAGUAACUGACGCUGAGGAGCGAAAGCGUGGGGAGCGAACAGG
rnacentral:rRNA from 1 species